CAGCCGCCACGGGAAUACGGAGGAUCCAAGCGUUAUCCGGAUUUAUUGGGUUUAAAGGGUGCGUAGGCGGCUCAUUAAGUCAGGGGUGAAAGACGGUAGCUUAACUAUCGCAGUGCCUUUGAUACUGAUGAGCUUGAAUGUAGUUGAGGUAGGCGGAAUGUGACAAGUAGCGGUGAAAUGCAUAGAUAUGUCACAGAACACCAAUUGCGAAGGCAGCUUACUAAAGUAUGAUUGACGCUGAGGCACGAAAGCGUGGGGAUCAAACAGGAUUAGAUACCCCAGUAGUCCCUGUCUCUUAUAC
rnacentral:rRNA from 1 species